AAAAAGCAGGAAUAUGAUUUCCUGCCUUAAGUAGCAUAUGUUUUUGCACCAGAUUCCCAAGAUGUGGUCAAACUGAUGAUGUCACUGGACAGAGGACAAGUUAAACACUCAGGUUUUCACUGUUGCCUAGAUUCUGCUGACAGGACUAGUAAAGAGCAAAAGAAGAAUCAGCAACCUCUCGAUGUAUCAGAUUAUUUUUUAAGUACCGUCCAGGACCCUGGGUAUUCAUCCGGAAAAGGAGCCAUAUUAUUAAUUUUUUCAAAAAGACAAUGUGAAAAGCACAAAUCUAAGCUCAAUAUGAGUAUUGGUUGUAGUAGCUUUAUGCAGCCUGCAAUAUUAAGUACAGUUUGUCACGUGAUUUAUUUCCUCAUCCGCUGCGUCACUUUAUCGGUUUUUAUGUUGGAACUAUAGCAAUAAUGUAUAUGUAAAAUUAGUAAAAUAAUAAAAAUUAUGGUUGGUCUUA